CCCCAUCUGCCACCGGGUAGAUGGAGAAAAGUGUCCAGCCGUAUUCCGGUAGGUCUUAGAAGGAAUACGGCUGGAUAUUUUUGUUUG
rnacentral:ncRNA from 1 species